rnacentral:rRNA from 3 species
CGGCAACGGAUAUCUCGGCUCUUGCAUCGAUGAAGAACGUAGCAAAAUGCGAUACUUGGUGUGAAUUGCAGAAUCCCGUGAAUCAUCGAGUCUUUGAACGCAAGUUGCGCCCGAAGCCUUUAGGCCAAGGGCACGUCUGCCUGGGCGUCAUG